UACGAGGGGGGCAAGCGUUGUUCGGAAUUAUUGGGCGUAAAGGGUGCGUAGGCGGUUCGGUAAGUCUUAUGUGAAAUCUACAGGCUCAACUUGUAGUCUGCAUGAGAAACUGCCGGGCUUGAGUAUGGGAGAGGUGAGCGGAGUUCCUGGUGUAGCGGUGAAAUGCGUAGAUAUCAGGAGGAACACCUGUGGCGAAAGCGGCUCACUGGACCAUAACUGACGCUGAUGCACGAAAGCUAGGGGAGCAAACAGG
rnacentral:rRNA from 1 species